rnacentral:lncRNA from 1 species
GCUGGAAUACGUUAAUAAAAAAAAUUAUAUAAUUAAAUGUAUAAUAUAAUUAUAACCUUUUUUUUAAUAUGCAAAUAUAUUAACAAACACAAGAAACUAGACUCGUAGCACAUUAACAUAAAUAUAAGGCUUAAUACAUCCUUUGGUCCCUUAACUUAUUUUUGGUUUUCAAUUUGGUCCCCUAACUAUAAAGUGUUUCAAUUUGGUCCCAUAAGUCUUCUGCGGUUUACCAUUUUGGUCCUCUCCGUUAGUUUUUAACCUUAAAUGUCUAAUGUGAACCAACUUUAUAGACGGUCCACCAUAGAUUUUAUUAAAUCACAAAUUUUUAACCAUUUGAUAUUUUUUUUAAAAUGGAGACCGUUGGAUCAUGGAGAGAUCUAUUGUAGCUUAUAAUGAACCACAAACACCUAAUUUUUUCCUCCAUCUUCUUCCCUAUGUUCUUCUUCAUCCCCGGAUUCCAAUCUCAGCCCCAAUUUCAAUCCCCAAAUCCAAUCCAAUUUAAAUCUAAACAUCUAUCUCCAACAACAACAUCAACAAUUUCUUCAUGGCCAACAAUAACAAUAGCUGCAGCAACAACAACAAUAAGCAAAAUUCAAAAACUUGUGGAAUACCCAUUAAUCCACAAGCAAUUCACAAUAGACAACACUGAAAUCAACAACAUCAUUAAUCCACAUAUCCACAGCUCAAUUAUCAUACACGGAUACAUCAAUUCCACCAUCACAAUUUCACCGUUGUACAGAGGAAUUAGAACAAACCACUAUUUAUCACAAUCUGCAAUUGACAACACUAAAAUCAGCAACAACAUUAAGCAUAACUCCACAAAUCGCACAUCAAAAUUUUACAUAAAUAUGGUUCCAAUCCAAAACCAGAAUUGAACAAAACUCGCAACAACAUUGCCAGAUUAAAACCUCCUAGCAUACUCCUCAGCAACAAUCAUAACAGCAACACAUUUUCUCUGAAGAGCAUCACGCUUAGCUUUCAUGGAUGCAGAUUCAUCAACCACAUCACCAUAACCACCACCGCUAACAACAACAAUUUCAGGCGGCGGCGGCACCACUUUCGGCACCGCAACUUGAAUCGUUCCACCAUCUUCCUUCCGUGAAUCACCGAGGACGGAAGGGGUGUAGGGUUGACGGCAGCGAUGACUUCAAUUUGGGCUCCAGCGGCAGUGUUGUUUCCGUUUGGAAUGGAAUUCGUUUCCAUUGGGAGAAGGAAAAGAAUGGAAUCUCAAUUCUCACAUAUUUUGUUGUUACAUCUUUUUUUCCGUUAGGGUUUUAAAAAAAAAAAAGAUAACUCCUGUACACGUGUCACCUUGUCAUUGGCU